GCGGACAGUGCCUGCCUGACCAUUUGGGACACCCACAGAAUCCAGGGCCCCUCUGAGAGCAUUCAGGGCUGACGGCCAAUGCUCCAGGGGAAACCAGUCGCCUCAGAGAAUCCUCACACCUCACUGUUCCGGAAGGAAUCAUCUUGGCAACCUUGAUCUUCUAGGGACCUGUCUGCUUGGGGAUUUCCUGGAGGGGAGCCCUUUGAAUUUGGUGCCCAUAGCUCUACAUCAAGCCCAGAAGUCACUUCUCCUGCAUGAAACUUCCCAUUCGCCCAACCCUUGCCAUCUGCCCGGUCCGAGCUGGACCCGGACUAAUGCAGAGAAAGGAAAACAUACGUCCCCACAAAGACCACAGAUGUUCGUGGCAGCCUUACUCAUAAUAGCUGCAGGCUGGAAACAACCCGAAUACCCCCAAACGAGGGAGCCAGUCAAUAAUCUGUGAUUUAGCCACACGACGGAAUAUUACUCAGCAAGAAAAAGGAAAGAACCGCCUACAGACACAAUAUUAUGGCUGAAUCUCGCAAUUACGGUGCAGAGAGGAAAGACACGAGGGUCCAAACUGUAUGUUGAUAUAUAUGGGCAAAUCUGGUCUAUGGAGACAGAAAGCUGAUCGGUGGCUGCCUGGGGCGUGGGAAGAAGACACAUGGGAACAUUUUUGGCCGAUGGAAAUGUUCUAUGCCUUGAUUACUGUGCUGGGUACACAGCACAUACGUUGAGGACUUCUCAAACAGUACAU